CUUUUCUCGUGUGAUGUGAUGUGGGGCUUGUGAUUCUUGAUCUUCUUUGUGGUUGAGAAUGCGAUUAAUUGGUUCAUUAUCUGUUCUGGAUUGGUUUCUGAUUUCGUUUGAUCUUGAUUUGUUUAUGAUUGCUAGAAUUUCUUGGGGGUUCAGUAUCCAGUCGACCUGUUCAUGUUAAAUGUUGAAUUUUUAGCCACUUAAAUAUGUUCAGUCACAAAAAUUGUUGCUUGUCAUGGUGAUAUCUUGUGGAGGCUCACAAUUGGAUGCACCUGUUUGUGCUGGUUUUGUCUUAAUUACUAUGCUGCAUCAUAUACUGAGGAAAAGGAACCUAUUUUGGUGCAUAUUGUGUGACUUCUGAAUCUACUUAUAAUAGUAAUUAGCUAAUGGUUACAGGGCACCUUUUACAUCACUUUGAGUUGGUAACUAUUGCUAAAUUGGUUUGGUCUUGCAUUGGAUGUUUACCAAAUACAUAAGCCAUUGUGGAUUCCAGAAUAAUUAUGAUUUGUGCUGUCAUUGUGAUGUAUGCCCCAAUAUAGACUCUCUCCAUUAAUGAGCAAUGGUUUAUUAGUUUGGUCAAAACUGUAUUAGCAUUGAGAAGCAAAAUUCUUGUUGUCAUUAUAGAGUACUUAGAGGCCUAACGUUUUUUUUUGCAUUGCUCGGUACUUGCCAUUUUGAAAGCUGUGGAGCUAUUUUCGCAGGUAUUUGGCUGGACUGUUGGCUGAGAGGCAAAAGUUGGGACCAUUUCCGCAAGUAUUUCCAUUUUUCUGUAGGCUUCUAAACCAAGGAAAAUGAAUACUUUUCACAGAACAGGGAUCCUUCAAGCAUCAGCUCCAGGUUGGAAUGGAACUGCUGGAGUUAAUACGAGCCCUAUCACAAAGAAAGUCAUCAGGAAGAAAAGCUAAGGGAUAACCGUGAUACGAGCACCUAAAUGAGCCACUGCAUGUACUCGUGGAGGCAGAGUUUACAGCAGACAUAGUUGACCUUUGUUUAAAUCAAGCUGUGACCAUAUUAGAUCUUGUGAAGCCCAUGGUUGAGUCCAUGGAUUACUACAAGAAUCAACAACUGAGGGAGUUGGCUAUACUGAAUGGUACUUUGAGAGAGAAAACCCUCAUAUGAGCCCCAGCGCAUCUCCCUUCAACAGCACAGGAAUGGAACAGGCGAUGAUCUGAGUUUCUAGUAGAUCAACCCAAUCUCGAUUACCAAAUCCAGGUUUUGUUACCUUAUCAGAGAAUUUUUCUGAUACACAUGACUGCUAAUUGAUGGUGCUGAGAUCAGUAAUGGUGCUGGGAUCAGUAGCAGGGCUUUGGACCCCAAUAAGAUGAUUUCUAGGCAGUUCUUUGGAUUGGUCAUAUCCUGCGAUACAAAAAUUUUCUGCAUGAUAAUUGCCUUUAACUUCUGCGCGUGAACACAGCUCUUGAAUUUGUUUAAUUACUUAUUCUUUAUUGUAUGUUUGCUAUUGUAAUAAGUUCAAAUCAGAAUGGAUUCAAUGACAUAUG